rnacentral:rRNA from 1 species
GGGGAAUUUUCCGCAAUGGGCGAAAGCCUGACGGAGCAAUACCGCGUGAGGGAGGAAGGCUCUUGGGUUGUAAACCUCUUUUCUCAGGGAAUAAGUACUGAAGGUACCUGAGGAAUCAGCAUCGGCUAACUCCGUGCCAGCAGCCGCGGUAAUACGGAGGAUGCAAGCGUUAUCCGGAAUGAUUGGGCGUAAAGCGUCCGCAGGUGGUUAUUCAAGUCUGCUGUCAAAGAAUCUGGCUCAACCAGGUAAAGGCAGUGGAAACUGAAAGACUAGAGUAUGGUAGGGGUAGAGGGAAUUCCUGGUGUAGCGGUGAAAUGCGUAGAGAUCAGGAAGAACACCGGUGGCGAAAGCGCUCUGCUGGACCAUAACUGACACUGAGGGACGAAAGCUAGGGGAGCGAAUGGGAUUAGAUACCCCAGUAGUCCUAGCCGUAAACGAUGGAUACUAGGCGUUGCCCGUAUCGACCCGGGCAGUGUCGUAGCCAACGCGUUAAGUAUCCCGCCUGGGGAGUACGCACGCAAGUGUGAAACUCAAAGGAAUUGACGGGGGCCCGCACAAGCGGUGGAGUAUGUGGUUUAAUUCGAUGCAACGCGAAGAACCUUACCAGGGCUUGACAUGUCCGGAAUCUUCUGGAAACGGAAGAGUGCCUACGGGAGCCGGAACACAGGUGGUGCAUGGCUGUCGUCAGCUCGUGUCGUGAGAUGUUGGGUUAAGUCCCGCAACGAGCGCAACCCUCGUUCUUAGUUGCCAGCAAUUCGGUUGGGCACUCUAGGGAGACUGCCGGUGACAAACCGGAGGAAGGUGGGGAUGACGUCAAGUCAGCAUGCCCCUUACGUCCUGGGCUACACACGUACUACAAUGCUGUGGACAAAGGGCAGCAAGCUAGCAAUAGCAAGCAAAUCCCAUAAACCACGGCUCAGUUCAGAUCGCAGGCUGCAACUCGCCUGCGUGAAGGAGGAAUCGCUAGUAAUUGCAGGUCAGCAUACUGCAGUGAAUUCGUUCCCGGGCCUUGUACACACCGCCCGUCACACCAUGGAAGCUGGUCACGCCCGAAGUCGUUACCCUAACCUUUCGAGGAGGGGGACGCCGGAGGUAGGACUGGUGACUGGGGUGAAGUCGUAACAAGGUAGCCGUACCGGAAGGUGUGGCUGGAUCACCUCCUU